rnacentral:rRNA from 1 species
GACAGAGGAUGCAAGCGUUAUCCGGAAUGAUUGGGCGUAAAGCGUCUGUAGGUGGCUUUCCAAGUCCGCCGUCAAAUCCCAGGGCUCAACCCUGGACAGGCGGUGGAAACUACCAAGCUGGAGUACGGUAGGGGCAGAGGGAAUUUCCGGUGGAGCGGUGAAAUGCGUAGAGAUCGGAAGGAACGCCCGUGGCGAAAGCGAGGUCCUGGACGCCUACUGACGCUGAGACGCGAAAGCCAGGGGAGCGAACGGG